rnacentral:tRNA from 1 species
GCCCAGGUGGUGAAAUGGCAAACACGCUAGUUUCAGGAACUAGUGCCCGUACGGGCUUGGAGGUUCGACUCCUCUCCUGGGCACCA